rfam:Akkermansia muciniphila ATCC BAA-835, complete genome.
GAUCAGGUUCGGGUGGUCGCUGUUCCGGUCUCCGGACCGGAGUAGAGGAAAGUCCGGACAUCACAAGGCAGCGUGUCCCGUGAAAGCGGGAGACGGGAAUCUCCCAAGGGUUCCCGGACGGAAAGUGCCACAGAAAACAAACCGCCCGGAUGGGGUUCGCCCCCAUGCCGGGCAAGGGUGAAAAGGGGAGGUAAGAGCUCACCGCUCCGAGGGUGACCAAGGAGGCAUGGUAAACCCCGCGCGAUGCAAGACAAACAGGGGAAGGGUCGCCUGCCCGCCGGAUCCCCGGGUAUUAGUCGCAUCCGUUCCGUGAAAACGAACGGGCGCGCGGAACGCCUGACUGCGGUCCGCGUGAGAAAAAUGACCGCACAGCCGGCUCUGGCCGGCGGACAAAAUCUGGCUUACAGAACCUGGUCGGCU